AGGUUCCUGUGCAUUCCAGAAGAUGAGGGAAAUGGUUGGAGGGGAGAUCAGACUUGACUGCAUAUCUGAAGUUCAAGAAUUUCUUCACUUCUGGAGAGCCCAGAACUACCGUUCCUCCAGCAGGGCCCAGCUCUUCACAUUGCCUGCUCCUGCCUCAGUUUCAUCUCUGUCUGAUACCGGACUGUCUCACUCCUCCACCCUGCCCUUUGGAGAGAGACAUUGGGUACUCCUGAUGCUCUGAUGCACUGUACUCAGAGACCCUGGAUAGCUAACUAGGGACAAGUUCACUCAUCCCCUUCCCAGAAGAUGGCACCAGAUUGCCUUCUAGCUGUGGAACAGUUACAUUUUAUCAGCAGCAGGUAUAAAAAAAUUUAAAAAUAAGUUGUGCAUUCAGCUCUCAGCAGUGGACACCGCUUAAAGUGUUAGAGUAAGCAGCUUCACAGAGACAUGGAGAACACGAAGUGUACAGCAGAUCAGGGAAAUGAUUCAGAGAAUCCUCUUCAGCUCCGUGCACUAGAAAUGCUCUCAGGUUCUAAACGCACUGUGAAAGAGGAAAGGACCUGAAUUCAGUACACGCAAGAAACAAAGACCCCAAAUACCCAGUGGGCUAUUCAUGAAUAGUUAAUAAAAGUGAAUAUGCUUUUGUUAAACAUCAGAUUUGAACAUUUUAAAUAAAGUUAGCAGAACUCUUUUCUGUGUAUAACAGCAUUAUCAUGAUUCCGUGCAUACAAAGAAACCACCUGAAACCUCUUGUAUUAAUAUGAAGGACCUCAUUCCCAUUUCCUCUUACACUGAUGUGAACCAGGGGUUAUUCUAAUGAUGUCCAUACAGGUAAAAUAGGUGUAAGAAUCAGGCCCCAAAUGUCUCUUCAGGGUAUAAACCCAAUCCCCCUGUGAGCAUUGCACCCACAUGGAGACCCACUGAGUCUCUGUGCAAGCUCAUGGACAGCCUGCGUCAAGCUCGUUGCAGGACUGGAGACUCCUAAGAAGCUUUGAAGUCUGGGACCUACAUCUGAAAUGAUGAACUGUUGUGGAAAAGCAGUGACGUUCCUAUUGAAACCGACGGCA